CGGGUGAGGCUGGUCGACACCGACGACGACCUGUGGAAGAUCACCUACGAGAGAGACCUUCUCGCAUUCCGCGCCAUCGUCACGGCCCAAAAUAAGGAUCAAAAGAGCAAGGAAAACGCCAGAAAAUGAGCGCAAGUGUGAGGCGAACGGGACUAUCGACGAUCAAAGGCUCGUCGAUGGGUCUAGGACAGCUUAUAUCAGUGAUCGUGAAGACAGCCUAGACAAACAAUCGUGGCUAUGUGUGGGAAAUUGCAUCGACGUCCGUUGGCUGGGUGUUCGCGUGAAAUCCUCUGGUCUGUGCCAAUAUCUCUCAGGAACGAAUGGAGAUGUCGUGUCAAAACGGUGAUACUUGCGUUGUCUUUGUGUUGUCAACUUGUCCGGUGACGUCGCCGCCGCUGCUGGAAUGCGAGAAUGUCGAGAUGUAUGUAUUCGCGGUUGUUGUGCGCAUACACAGACGGGUCAUGAACUACACACGUUGUACCCGAUGCAUUUAUGGCUCCCGUCGGCAAUAGAUGGCGCCACGUGUCUACGCUUUCCUGGUUUAUUACUUUUUUAUGAAUGCUAAUGACAAUCUACGGUUGUCACCUACACUAGGAAUUGCAAACGGGAGAACUACGCCGUGCAUGACAUGACGCAAUGCACUCAAGGUCAUUCUCACUCGCAGAAUAUCCUUUUUUGCACUCCCCUGAUAUCGUUCUUUAUUAUUUUAUUACCACUUUUUUUUAUUUCCCUCGCAAUAUACAUCUCCAUGUUGCAUCAUGGAACUUUAUGAUGGAAUUUAUUAUUAUUUUUAAUAUUAUUUAUGGAACCUAUUAGUUUCGCAACACUACAGUUGUGUUUACGGUUAGGUCACACUAGAUUACAUGACUGGAGAACAUUCUUUGUAAUCGAAAGUGAAUAAAUACAGGUUUUUGUAUUUAUUCGCUUAUAUGUCCAUAAGCAUGGUUGUGCUGGCGUUGGGAUGUGAUGUAGCCAUAGAAAUAAUAUAGUGGACUCUAUUGCCUCUGUAUAUUUCUAUGGAUGUCACAAACGCUGUGACAGGAAGGGUACGAUAGAGAGAGAGAAGAGGGAGAGAGAGCGAGAAAGAGAGGGAGAGAGAGAGCGAGGAGGAGGGGGGGGGGAGAGAGAGAGAGCUUAAGAGACUAAUGAGAAAAGCGAGGUGUAUGAGUCAUGCGAGAUUUGUUUGAAUCGUGUGUUAUACAGAAUUAAGCAGAUGUGGUAACUGUACUUUCAAUAUUUGUGUUUAGCACUCCCGGACAAGUUUAGGGGUACUGUGUAUUGCUGCGGUGCAUGGUCUUUAUGGGCCUGGCCUGGCCUAUUUGUGAACAGAAGGCAAAACUUCUGAAUGUGAGCUUCAUAAAAAGCUUGGAAACUUUGCAAGCUCUACUGGGACCGUAUAAUUGUAGGACCAAUUGUAUAAUUUGUAUUAUAUAUAAUUGAGUUCCCGUUAAAAAAGUCCAGUGCUUGCGUGGGACAAUCUGGGAACGCAAAGUGUUUUUUGCGUGCGUGUACUUGGAUGUAUGUGAAUAUGAUCGAGACUCGAGGUAAAAACUUUUACAGAUUGUUAGAAAUCAACGAAAAAUAUGUAAUUGUAUGCAAAAUCACAUUUAUGUAAGAUUAUUUACAUUUUUUAUAUAGUGCUGGCAUAGAUCAAUCUUUAUGCUCUAACUUUUGUAGGAAUGGACACUGGUACGAUAUAUGAUUCUCAAAUAUAGAUUUAUUAACUGGAA
rnacentral:lncRNA from 1 species